GCCUGGGUGGCUCAGUUGGUUGAGCAUCCGAUUUCGGCUCAGGUCAUCUCAUGGCUUGUGGGUUCGAGCCCCACAUCGGGCU
rnacentral:tRNA from 1 species